AAAAAAAAAAACAAGCCAGUUUACCUCUUUUCCAUGUUCAUUACUGAGGCAAGAACAAAAGGCACCAAGGAAGAGAAAGGAGUGGACUGGGCAGAAAAGAAGGAUGCCAAAGAGAAACUCCUGAAAAUUCCUCCUUGAAAACCGGGUUCAAUCAAGAGAAGAGCCAGGAUCUUGCUGUACUGCCCAGCCUGGAGUGCAAUGUCACAAUCAUGGCUUACGGCAGCCUCAAACUACUGGGCUCAAGUGAUCCUUCCACAACUGUCUUCCAAGUAGCUGGUCCUAUAGGUACAUGCCACCACGUCCAGCUAAUUUUUUAGUUUUUUUUUUGUAGAGACAGGGCCUUGCUAUAUUGCCCAGGCCAGUCUUGAACUCCUGGCCUCAACCAAUCCUCCCACCUCAGCCUCCCAAAGAGCUAGGAUUACAAGCAUGAGCCACUGCACCUGGCUUUUUACUUUUUAAUGCAGUUAAAAAUUACAUAUAUGUAUUACAUCUGUAGCCCACAUUAUAAUUCCAUUGAAGAGUGCUGAGAUAUAAUAUUGACAUAUUAUUUCCAUCAUAGAAACUUGGAACAUUUUUAUUAUUUAGAAACGUGCUAUUUUAUACAUACACUGUUAUCUAUACUUCCAAAGAUAGUAAUUACGUACUCAUAAGAAGCUAUAUGUACUAGUUUUCUUAUUAAUUUGCUUGCUACUUGGUCAUUUAUUUUAUCUCUUACUGCUUGCUAAGGGACAAGUGGUAGCAGUCUCUAAAGGUUUAAAAAUAAUUAUGUAAAAACACCAGUAUGCUAUGGCCUGUUAGUCUGACAAACAAUGAAUUGAUGUCUAAAAUAAAGAACACAUUGUAA
rnacentral:antisense_RNA from 1 species